ensembl:lncRNA
GGAAGGACCCAGGCCUCUGGCUUCACUUCUCCGGGCCCCGUCCCCUGGUGGCUGGGGGGGCCCUUCCUUUGGCAUGUAGGCGCCUCGUUGCAGUUAGUAGGUUGUUUCCCAAGUGAGUGGCAAAGCCUGGGAACGGAAGCCCGGUUCUCCGUUUGGAUGGACUAUAGAGAUGUCUGCACUGAUUUCAGCUGGGGCUUCUUGGAAGCAAAUUUCUGGGGCACGUUACCAAAAGAAGCAGAUGGCCUGGAAACUGGGAAUGCGGACGGGAGGAUGCUGGUUGCCACGGGCGGGAGAAUCCGGCUCCCCGCUGGGCUCAUAGCUCUGAAGCCAGCAGCUUCCACGGCCUCCUGACCCCGCCCGGCAAGGAUGCGACAAUGACCACCUGCCACUGAAGGGGCCGGUCAGCGUGAGCCCGGGCCCCGGGACGCUGGCCACCUCCGGGGAGCCCACAUGGACAGCAGGCUUGACACGGGGGGGUCUCGGCCUCAGCACAGACUGAGCCCCCGGCCUGGCAGUGGCCAGAAGGCCAGCCCCACCUGCGGUCCCGCUCACACAGGCCAGCGGGGUCUCAGCACGCUGCUACCGCUGCCGGGACACUAAAGGACUUGCCUAAGGGGGAGGUGCCCGGGGGGAGCCAGGGGUGGGGUCAGGUCACCAGGCCGAAUCGCUGUUCGCUCUGGACAGCUGGGAGCCUGGUGUGGGGCCAGCUACCGGGAGGGGG